CGUGUUUAGACGUCGCUCCCUUUUAAAGCAAAAGGAAAAAAGGCAGCGAGUCAGAGUAGAUAUUUACAUACUGACACCCAUUGAAGAUCAUUAAUAGACUAAAUGGUGAGUGUCGGCGGCUCGGGGUUUUGCGCACAAUUGGCGUGCGCUGCUGAAAAUGGCAUCUCCCCCAUGCGCGGCCCCUGCUUUACCUAGUAGCGUGACCAUGAAGCAAUGCACGAGCAGAGAGAUCUUAACAUGCACAGAGUCAGUCUGGCUCCUCGAGACGCCUGCUCAUCUCGCCAGCAGGAGCACGUACGGCGUGCACUUAAAGAAGACAACAUCUGAUUCAAGCCGGCCAGAUGUUUCAUUCCGUCGCGCUGCGCUUUAUUCGUGGCGAGAUACACUUCAUGCUGAUAGAUAAAGAAAAACCCCAAGCACGUUGAAAAACUCGAACAAGAAGAAUCAUUGUCUACAAUUUCGAGAUGCUCUCAGAGGAAGUAAACAAGCAGACAUGCAGACGUGAAAUUAAGAAGCCACUUCUUUCCCCCUCUUCAUGUGACUGCAGAGGCAUAUGACUUCCAUAACUUCAUCGCUCAUUAAGCGCUGAUGGCAGGACACAAUUGAGUGAGUGUUUGUGGAACUUGCCCCAGAUAUUCAGGUCUCAGUGCCCGGCUCUGGCUGUUGGGUAGAUCUUCUCUUGUUUCAGAUAGCUUCACCCUGCCUGACAACAGAGCGUGAGGAACUUCACAUGAGAGUCCCAUGUAAGGAGUCAGCAAUGGGAUACAAAGGCCAGUUAUGUCCGUUUAAAUCCCUUAACAAGCACCGCAACAGACAAAAGAUAGAGAUACCAUGCCGGUAUUAUUAAAUUACUACAUCUACACAUGAGCCGGCAAUUGAGUUACUUUUAUAGAUGUGUGCAGUCAGUGGGAUAGCCAUGAAAAAAGCACUCUUCUUUGUUUAUUAAUGAUUGGGUAAAUAGCAGAUUUGGCCAGUUUUGUUGAAAAGAGCUUUUCAAAAAAUAUAUUGAUAGAUGUAUAGUUCACCUAAAUAAUUCUUAAUGUGUAUUUUUUAUUUUGUAUUUUAUUCUAAAGUGUCAUUCGCUUGACUUUUUAUGAAUCACAAAGGACCGCUGCUGGAAACACAGAACAUUCCAUUAAUGUUACCAUUUGGCUAUUUUUGGGAAUGUCCUCUGUGGUGUAACCUUAAAGAUUUUUUUCAAGAACCUAAAACGAAAAUUUGUUCUCCUAACCUAAGUGAAACGAUGUAUUUAAAUAAAGUCAUUCUGGCUGACCAACAGAGAACACAUUUUGGGAAUCAGAAACUUCGGGAAACCAAAUGUUUGUUAGCAAGAGUCAGAUUUAAAAAAUUAAGUUUUUAAUUAAAGAAAUCCCUGCUGAAAAAAGCAGCUUAAAUUAGCCUAGACUGGUUGACUAGUUUUAAUUGGUUGACUAGCCUGGUUUUAGUGGGGGUUUUGGCCAUUUCCAAGCUGGUUUUAGCUGGCCAGGCUGGGAAAUGACCAGCUAAAACCAGCUUGACCAGACAGGUUUAAGCUGGACAUAGCUGGUAUUAGCUCCCAGCCUGACCAGAAAAAUUAAGAUUUACUAAUUUCCUCACCCUUGAGUGGUUUUAUCCUUCAUGAGUUUCUUCUGUUGGACACAGGAGAAUAUAUUUUGAAGAAAGCUGAAACUCAAACAGGUUUGAGAGAGUAAUUGAUGAGAUAAUUUGAAUUUUUGGGUAGCCUAAUAUUGCCCUCGUAAGAUCUCGUUUGACAAACAUAUAUGUAAAUAUAAAACCAACAAUUAAUGAUUUUAUGCUGUACAUUUCUUGAUGACGCUGAACGAGCAAACAAUAAAGAGAAACCAACCAAA